rnacentral:rRNA from 1 species
UUAGAUACCCCAUAUGCUUCGCCUAAACAUUGAUAGUUUUACACACCACUAUCCGCCUGGAGACUACGAGCAACAGCUUAAAACCCAAAGGACUUGGCGGUGCUUUAGACCCACCUAGAGGAGCCUGUUCUAUAACCGAUAACCCCCGUUUAACCUCACCCUUCCUAGUCAUCCCCGCCUAUAUACCGCCGUCGCCAGCUUACCCUAUGAAGGCUUCCUAGUAAGCACAAUUGGUAGAACCCAAAACGUCAGGUCGAGGUGUAGCGUAUGGAGGGGGAAGAAAUGGGCUACAUUCCCUAUUACAGCGAAUCACGGAUAAUAGUACUGAAACGUGUAUCUAGAAGGAGGAUUUAGCAGUAAGCGGAAAGCAGAGCGUUCCGCUGAAACCGGCCCUGAAGCGCGCACACACCGCC